CAAUAGUUUGUUCUGUUUCUACAGUGUUCACGUCUGCUAUUUGGGUCCUGCUUCACCUUAUUCAGACGGCUGGACUCAGCCGUGACAUUUUGGGUUCCAUUUUUUAUUUGGAUUA